GCAAAAAUGGACACAAUAUUCAAGCUUGAUACAAGUCUGAAUUUGGAUUGUAAUUAAAUAUUUGACAUACAUGUAUUAUAGGUUUCUGAAUAAAUGUAGUCAAAGAACUUGAAGUUGGUUAUAUGAAUUGAAUUUAUAUUCAAUUAAAGAUUUGACUUGCUGUUGUGCAAUACACUGUGCUGUUGCGCAAUACUUAGUAAAUCUGUUGUCAGAC